rnacentral:misc_RNA from 1 species
AAGUCGUAACAAGGUUUCCGUAGGUGAACCUGCGGAAGGAUCAUUACAAAUCCACCACGUCUCUCUCCUUUCGAGACCUCGUUGAACGUGUCACACACAGGAAGAGCGAGCAGGGGAAGAGAGAGAGAGAGAGAGAGAGGGCUGCCUGCGUAUGCGCGCGCAUGCUCUCUUGCUCUUGCUCUUGCUCUUGCUCCUGCUCCUGCUCCUCUCUUCCUUGAACUUUUCUAGUUUGAUAUCAUGUUGGUUGUCAGUAGUGUGUUAUACUCUUCUUCUCCUCCCCUUUUUCCUUUUUCUUCUUCUUGGCUUGCCUGACAAGCCAAGCAAGCAGCGAAAAUGAAAGAGAGAGAGACAAAGAGAGAGAGAAAGAGUGUGUACCAUGUAACAACUUAUAACAAUGGAUCUCUAGGCUCUU